rnacentral:rRNA from 1 species
CCUACGGGCGGCAGCAGUGAGGAAUAUUGGUCAAUGGCCGGAAGGCUGAACCAGCCAUGCCGCGUGAAGGUCAGUGCCCUAUGGGCGUUAAACUUCUUUUGUGCGGGAGCAAUAAUGGUCACGUGUGGCCAGACGAGAGUACCGUACGAAUAAGCAUCGGCUAACUCCGUGCCAGCAGCCGCGGUAAUACGGGGGAUGCAAGCGUUAUCCGGAUUUAUUGGGGUUAAAGGGUGCGUAGGCUGGGUGGUGAGUCAGCGGUGAAAUGCCCCCGCUCAACGGGGUGAGGUGCCAUUGAUACUGCCUUGCUGGAAUGCGGAUGCCGUGGGAGGAAUGUGUGGUGUAGCGGUGAAAUGCAUAGAUAUCACACAGAACACCGAUUGCGAAGGCAUCUCACGAAUCCGCGAUUGACGCUGAUGCACGAAAGCGUGGGUAUCAAACAGUAUUAGAUACCCGGGUAGU